rnacentral:rRNA from 1 species
AUGUCUGGAAUAUCUGAAGUUAAACUCCAGGCUCUCCACCUUGGAAGCGAAGCAGGGCCUGGUUCGUACUUGGAUGGGAGACUUUCGCUCUGAAGUUCAGGAUUUURGAUGUU